rnacentral:rRNA from 1 species
AGUGAACGCUGGCGGUAGGCCUAACACAUGCAAGUCGAACGGCAGCACAGUAAGAGCUUGCUCUUACGGGUGGCGAGUGGCGGACGGGUGAGGAAUACAUCGGAAUCUACUUUUUCGUGGGGGAUAACGUAGGGAAACUUACGCUAAUACCGCAUACGACCUACGGGUGAAAGCAGGGGAUCUUCGGACCUUGCGCGAUUGAAUGAGCCGAUGUCGGAUUAGCUAGUUGGCGGGGUAAAGGCCCACCAAGGCGACGAUCCGUAGCUGGUCUGAGAGGAUGAUAAGCCACACUGGAACUGAGACACGGUCCAGACGCCUACGGGAGGCAGCAGUGGGGAAUAUUGGACAAUGGGCGCAAGCCUGAUCCAGCCAGACCGCGUGGGUGAAGAAGGCCUUCGGGUUGUAAAGACCUUUUGUUGGGAAAGAAAAGCAGCAGGUUAAUACCCCGCUGUUCUGACGGUACCCAAAGAAUAAGCACCGGCUAACUUCGUG